CGCCUACCCCAAUCCGCCCACAACCGCGAGGCCCCGCCCCGCCGUAAUUCCCUCCUACGCUCGCGCCGCGGCCGCGGUCACCAUAACCCUCUCCCCUCUCCACGUCCACCGCUGCCCCCACCCAACAGCCACCGUCCAGCCCCCUCCUUGCCCUCCAUCUGUGACCGCCCAAUCUCUAAGGAAUGGAUCGCGACAGGCCACCGCUCGCCAUGGGGUGCUCGUGGCUGUGAACGAAUGCCAACUUGCAGAACCAGGGCUCUUCGAUUCGGUCCUUGGCGCCGGAUCCAAUUCUUGUCAGGUGAUACAGUCCUCCUCCUUCAUUUCCCCCUCGGUUUUGUUGCUGGAUGAACCCUAAAUUCAUUGGAUCCAAGUAUAUCAAGGCGUAUUUGUGAUGUAUGGAGUAGAUCUGCUUUCAAGAUUUAGUUCUGAUGGCCUCUACUGCUAUUUCUAUGUCGAACUGAAGCCGGUGCUAGCUGCCGGCCGGCGGCGCGCGCGGCGUCAGGAGGGCAGCUCCAGCUGCCACGCGCUCAAUAUAUUGAUUCAGCUUUUCCUUGUUCUGCUCAACAAUGGCUAGAUCGUCAAUAAUUGGUUUAGUUGGCAUGUAGUAAAUAGGUGGUUCAGCUUUUGUCCUGCCAACAUAAGGGGGUAAUGAGAUAGAGUCAAACAUGGAACAGAUAUUGUUCAUCAGUAUACAAUGUAAAUAGAUAUACUAAUGGUUAUCAAACAUCAAGUCUGCAUAAUUAGAAUGUAUCUUCCCUCAAUUUAAUUGUCAAUAUGGACACUUUUGGACCAGAAAUAAAAAUAACCUGCAGAACACAGAAAAUAACAGAUCAUUCAAACAAGAUAGUAGAAUUACUGCACAAACAUGGGAAACAGCUUAUGUAAAGAAAACGGGGGUUCCAAUUUUUGGGUCUAACUCAAAAUGAAGAAUGAUGCAAAGCAGCAAACCUACCUUAAGAAAUUGGACAACCUUUUAUGGUGCUCAGUCCACUGAAUGUACAACAGCUCCAACCUGUUUUCUUCCGCCUUAGUAGCUACAUGAGCGCGAAGCGUCUAAAAAAGAGCAUCAAGGAUUGUAUAAUUCCAAAGUAAAUAUCAAUUGAAAUGUGUGGUACAAAAUUGACGGAGAGAGAUUCACUACACGCGCUCAAUAUAUUUACUACACGCCUUAACGACGACGAAGAGAGAUUCAGAGAUGGGGGUAGAAAAUUGACGCACAGCUCACAGGCGAGGCGUGAUGGAUUGAGCGGAAAGGUGGAGUAGGAGCAGGCGCUGUGUAGUGUGCGUGUGUGGCUCAUUGCACCAUCGUCAUUGCCUCCAUGCUCAUUUUCAUUUUUAGCAUAUAGAUCCUCCAUCACUCUAUAAUUGAUAAUUGAAGUAUACUCCAAUUCCAAUCACUCUAUUUUUUUAUUGUUUAAUAAAUCAUCAUUCAAUAUGAGCAAGGAGGCUAAGCGACAUACUAGCCCAAAUAAUGUGUGCUUUAAUUAUUCAUCCAACAACACACCACUAGCACUUCCAGUCCUUUCAUACAAGAUGUUGUUUAUUUUGUAGGUGGUCCUUUUGUGCUUUCCCUUGCACACAAACACAAAGUGAACUUUCUUCUGUGAUCAGGUAACAUAUCCGUCUUUUACUUCAGCUGGUAUGUUCACAAUCAACUUUUCAGAAUAGUUUGUAAAAAUAUAUUCACAUGUCCAUUUUUCAUUGGAUGUUGGUCUCUCCCAGAUAGCCCAAAUAGGUCCAUACCGAUUGUCUCUCCUUGAUAUCUGUAUUUUAUAAUUUUAUUUGUUUUAUGGAUCAAUGUUCUUGUCAUCAUAGAGUGUGGUCUAAUAUUGCAUUACAGUGACUUUUCUGUUUGAAGUCAUCUAAGAAUCAAGGAGUCACUCCAAAGAAUAAAUCCUUAAGGUUUUUUGGUUAGCCUUCAAAGGUUGCUGUUUAAAUCUAUAAACAGGAAAUAUAAAUGAAUCUAAAAAGUCAUUUUUAAAAGACUGCUAUUUCAAUCUAUAAACAGGAAACAUAAUGCAAUUUUAUGUUUUAGUUUUAGAUAAUUUAGUUGGAGCCUUACAUUAAGAACCUAUUUGGAAUUAGGGUUUUCAAGAUAGUUAAAAAUCAGUAUAAAAUAGAUACAGAGAGUACUUAUAAAACAAUUGACUAUAAAGAGUACUUAUCCAAUGUUGGUGGUGGCUCCCAUCUGAUUAGGAUCUAAACAAGGAGUAAAUGAGACAAACAUUACCACUAUAUUUUGCAGAGAGGCUCUAUCUGCUAAAAAUGAAAAUGUCAUGGGUGAAACCAGUCCCAAAACCAGAUUAAGACACUUGCCCAACUCUGCAGAUACCAUAAUUAUUUGGCCUCUGAAAUCUAAGUUCAAAUAGCAACAAUUGUAUUAAUGGCUUCAAACAUUCAGAAUCAAAUAUACGUCGAACUGUAACUUUUUGCCAUUCUAUUAUACAAAUUGGCGGACUUAUAUUGCUCUUCCUCCUUCCUAGCCUGAGAGAAGGCAGACUGUCUCUCUCUGGACACAACCAGCAAACUAUUCAACCUCCAAUCCGGCCGCUUCGGUCGAAAUCAUGAGUCUUCCCUUGGCUUGGAAUGAAUCCUGUAUGUGGGGGGAAUAAGAGAAUUCCUAGGGAUCCUCGUAGUAGUGAGAUUGCAUUGUUCGAAGACGCAUGUUCCUCUAUUUCUUCUAAUCUAAAGAGGUCAUUCUUUAGUGUGGCGUGGGUUCUCCCAAUGUUGCCAAAGUCUUUCUACGAUAGGAUGUAUGAACUUGUAGUUUGUCUAUUAUUAAUUGUCUUGUGCCUAAGUACUGGGAAUGGUAUCUACUAUGAAUGGUUUUUGUGCUCAGACUUCUCAUGAACCGACUCCUAUUUUUCACUCAAAAUAACCACCAUUAAGGAAACAGACACAUCAACUGAUUGCUACUAUUUUUAGGCUGCUAUUUUAAAGCUGCCAUUUGCAUUCAAUUUUGGUCAACAUUAUGAACUGACAGCAAAAAACUGCUAUUGCCAGGUUCCUAUUUUGAAGCAAUUUUAGCCACCAUUGUAAACUGCCUGCUGCUUGGUUUUGCUACUUGCAAAUAGCAUUCUUAUGAACUGGCUGUUUCCACCCGUUCACUUAAUAUGUGCAUUAUUUCUAGCUUUUAAUGUUGAUAGGAUAUGAUAGGUGACACAUUGAUGUUGUGCGGUGACAGAUUAGAGACGUGAAAGAAAUAGAAUGAGCAGGGUACUUAGGUACUUGCCUACCUGUUCCAUUGCGCGUAGAAUGAGAAAUAGUUCCUAUAGUGUUAGCGUCCACAUAACCACCAUUCUGAAGGAAACAGACACAUCAACUGAUUGCUGCUAUUUUUAGGCUGCCAUUUGCAUUCAAUUUUAGUCAACAUUAUGAACUGGCAGCAAAACAAAGCUGCUAUUGUCAGGUUGCUAUUUUGAAGCAAUUUUAGCCACCAUUGUAAACUGCCUGCUGCUUGGUUUUGCUACUUGCAAAUAGCAUUCUUAUGAACCGGCUAUUUCCACCCGUUCACUCAAUAUGUGCAUUACUUCUAGCUUUUAAUGUUGAUAGGAUAUGAUAGGUGACACAUUGAUGUUGUGCGGUGACAGAUUAGAGACGUGAAAGAAAUAGCAUGAGCAAGGUACUUAGGUACUUGCCUACCUGUUCCAUUGCGCGUAGAAUGAGAAAUAAUUCCUAUAUUGUUAGCGUCCACACAACGAAAUGCCCCCGCCUUCCCCCAGCUCGCACAGCCGUGCUUCGCCACUACGGUCGCUGAUGGCGCCCAUCCUCCAAGCCCAACGAUGGCGCGGAUCUCGCCUCCAAACGCGGAUCUCGGCCACGACACAGACGCAAAUCCCAGUAGGCUAGCCUCCGCACGGCCAUUGUAAUUGAAUUGUUGUCUGAUAGCAUGAACCAAUUGUCCAUUAAGAAUGAGAAUCAGUUGGUAAGUUUCUUGAUAUUUUGUCUGUGUCUGAUGUGAAGACCUUUUUCCUUGCUCGUUUCCUUAUCUGUAUUCCAUUAGCUGCAGGAUUUUCUUUUAGAUGAAAACCACAGCCUGCUAGAGAUUGAUAGUGAUAGUGUUGGAUCACGAUUGCAGGUAAAGUUCACUUUAUAACUUCAAGUAAGUUUGCACAGAAUUUGGACCCUAUAUAUUUUUUAGUCAAGUCUAGCAAUUUUACCCAUGCGAUGCAUUCUCUUGCUUCCACUGGAUUGCCCAUUGUGUUAAAUUGUUUAUUGCAGUAUGUGUGAUAUAGAGAUGUCCCAUCAGUUAGGGUCCUAAGAAACACAUUAGAAGUCUUGAGAAUUGAUGCUCAUAUACUUCUUGCUUGCAAAUUAUCUGAUCAGAAGCAUUCCUUUCUUAUAGGAUAAAAGAAGUAGGCGCAAUGAGGAGUCAUGUUCAUUCACAAGCUCUAACAGAGAAAGUUGGGGCAGAUGUUCAUAUUUAGGUGCAGCCAGUGAUGAAUCAUUCUCAGGCGAUAAUAAUGAUAAGCAGGUGACACAUUGCUUCAAUUGUCUGACAAUUUAGUUAUCCAGUGUCUUAUACGAAUACCUUAGUUAUCCAGUGUCUGCAUUGAUCGUAUCUGUUAUGGUGUCUGUUAGGUGGAUUGGCUAUGAGGUAUGCUUAUUUAUGUUAAACCUAUAUUCUAACUCCAGAAUUAUCAAGGGAGUAUUGUUGCAUUUCACAAGAUUAAACGGGUUCCUCUUCAGUGUUUGUAGCUGGAGAUCAGGAGAAUAACUUUAAACUACACCUUUCUACUUUCAAGAAUCUACUCCUGGCUGGUUGCUGUACAUUGGCCGCCGAACUGCCCAGCUGUCCCAGGGAGAGGUUGCACGCCUCCCAUUCACCAUUUGUCAUUUCGUUGCCUGCCGCUGGCUGAGCCUUCCAAGGAGGUGGCGGAAGGUUUCCACUUUGAUCAUCUACAGAGUAUGGAUACUAGCGUCACUUAUUUUUCUUCUUCUUCGGAUAGAAAAAGAAAGAUUCAUAUGAAUACAGAGAGUUCUGGUUGAAAGACAGAAGUGAUACAGAAAAGUGCACACACUAAUAAAGUAAUAAUUAAGUAGUAUUCCAGAAAGAUAUAACAGCAGAUCAGAUAUGACAAUUCUUGCCAUAUCGUAAUUCAGUGCUUGCUCUGCUGGAAGGUUGGCAGCUUGAUCAUUCCACCCUGAAUUAACAUUAUUAAACUGGGAUGCCUGAUCAUAGGACGUUCCAGCACCCCCGUUCGGAUACAGCGUCGCCUGUUGCGACUAGAAAGGCUGCUGAGUUGGAGUGUUGUAUGCCUGAGAUCCUGGAAUAGCAGAACUUAGAUUGAGACCAAAGGGGUCAGCUGCUUGAGUUUUGCUGUUAACGGUGCUGUUCUGUGAAAAUAUUCGUUUGACAUCAGUUCAUUCCAUUUAAGUCGGUGUAUCUAUAAUAAUAUUACAUAUUUAUAUCAUCA
rnacentral:lncRNA from 1 species